UACGUAGGGGGCAAGCGUUGUCCGGAAUCAUUGGGCGUAAAGAGCGCGUAGGCGGCCCUGUAAGUCCGCUGUGGAAGUCAAGGGCUCAACCCUUGGAUGCCGGUGGAUACUGCAGGGCUAGAGUCCGGAAGAGGCGAGUGGAAUUCCUGGUGUAGCGGUGAAAUGCGCAGAUAUCAGGAGGAACACCGAUGGCGAAGGCAGCUCGCUGGGACGGUACUGACGCUGAGGCGCGAAAGCGUGGGGAACAAACAGG
rnacentral:rRNA from 1 species